GGGAUCAUGUGCUCUCCAACUACUGUGGGGGCCUGUGACUCACUGGUUGUGUUGAAGAAAGGAAAACCUGCCAGAAAAUGAGAAAAGAGUUAAUGACCGUUGACCGUCACUAUUAGCCCAAAUAUGAGGAGCAGGUCUGAUGUGGAAGAAGGGAGAUGGAGGCAAGCCCAGACUGUCAACUUGAAGAUUGUGAGAGCAUUUUGAGAGG
rnacentral:lncRNA from 1 species